AUACGGAGGAUCCGAGCGUUAUCCGGAUUUAUUGGGUUUAAAGGGUGCGCAGGCGGGAGAUUAAGUCGGCGGGGAAAUUUUUCAGCUCCACUGUAAAAGUGCCUUCGAAACUGGUUUCCUUGAGUGUAGAUGAAGUAGGCGGAAUUUGUGGGGUUGCGGUGAAAUGCAUAGAUAUCACGAGGAACUCCGAUUGCGCAGGCAGCUUACUAAACUACUACUGACGCUCAGGCACGAAGGCGUGGGGAUCAAACAGGAUUAGAUACCCUGGUAGUCCACGCAGUAAACGAUGAUUACUAGCUGUUUGCGAUACAAUGUAAGCGGCUGAGCGAAAGCGUUAAGUAAUCCACCUGGGGAGUACCUUCGCAAGAAUGAAACUCAAAUGAAUUGACGGGG
rnacentral:rRNA from 1 species